AUACAGAGGGUGCGAGCGUUAAUCGGAAUUACUGGGCGUAAAGCGCGCGUAGGCGGCUUAUUAAGUCAGAUGUGAAAUCCCCGGGCUCAACCUGGGAACUGCAUCUGAUACUGGUAAGCUAGAGUUUUGGAGAGGGAAGUAGAAUUUCAGGUGUAGCGGUGAAAUGCAUAGAGAUCUGAAGGAAUACCAGUGGCGAAGGCGACUUCCUGGCCAAAAACUGACGCUGAGGUGCCAAAGCGUGGGUAGCAAACGGGAUUAGAAACCCCAGUAGUCC
rnacentral:rRNA from 1 species